GGCUGUCCGCAGCUGGAGUAUUUUAUUACCCUUGUCUUUUGCGCACUUGUUGUUUCCUGGGCGGGUUCGCUCGCCACCAGGACCACCAAAUAAACCUUUUUUAUGCAGUUGCAAUCAGCGUCAGUACAAACAAUGUAAAUCAUUUACAACUUUCAACAACGGAUCUCUUGGUUCUGGCAUCGAUGAAGAACGCAGCGAAAUGCGAUACGUAGUGUGAAUUGCAGAAUUCAGUGAAUCAUCGAAUCUUUGAACGCACAUUGCGCCCUUUGGUAUUCCAAAGGGCAUGCCUGUUCGAGCGUCAUUUGUACCCUCAAGCUUUGCUUGGUGUUGGGCGUUUUUGUCUUUGGUCGCCCAAAGACUCGCCUUAAAGUGAUUGGCAGCCGGCCUUUCUGGUUUCGCAGCGCAGCACAUUUUUGCGCUUGCCAUCAGCAAAACGGCAAUCCAUCAAGCCUCCUUCUCACGUUUGACCUCGGAUCAGGUAGGGAUACCCGCUGAACUUAAGCAUAUCAAUAAGCGGAGGAAA
rnacentral:rRNA from 1 species